rnacentral:rRNA from 1 species
AUUGAACGCUGGCGGCAGGCUUAACACAUGCAAGUCGAGCGGUAACAGAGAGAAGCUUGCUUAUCUGCUGACGAGCGGCGGAAGGGAGAGGAAUGCAUAGGAAUCUGACUAGUAGUGGGGGAUAACUUGCCGAAAGGUAAGCUAAUACCGCAUACGUCCUACGGGAGAAAGGAGGGGACCUUCGGGCCUUUCGCUAUUAGAUGAGCCUAGGUCGGAUUAGUUAGUUGGUGAGGUAAUGGCUCACCAAGACCGCGAUCCGUAACUGGUCUGAGAGGAUGAUCAGUCACACUGGAACUGAGACACGGUCCAGACUCCGACGGGAGGCAGCAGUGGGGAAGAUUGGACAAUGGGGGGAACCCUGAUCCAGCCAUGCCGCGUGUGUGAAGAAGGUCUUAGGAUUGUAAAGCACUUUAAGUUGGGAGGAAGAGCAGUUAACUAAUAUUUGACUGUUUUGACGUUACCGACAGAAUAAGCACCGGCUAACUUCGUG